UACAGAGGUCUCAAGCGUUGUUCGGAUUUAUUGGGCGUAAAGGGCGCGUAGGCGGUCACGCACGUCCGUUGUGAAAUCGCUCGGCUCAACUGGGCGGGGUCAGCGGAUACGGCGUGGCUGGAGCAAGCUAGGGGGCAAUGGAAUUCCCGGUGUAGUGGUGGAAUGCGUAGAUAUCGGGAGGAACACCAGUGGCGAAGGCGGUUGCCUGGAGCUUUGCUGACGCUGAUGCGCGAAAGCGUGGGGAGCGAUCCGG
rnacentral:rRNA from 1 species